rnacentral:lncRNA from 1 species
CAAACCCAUCCCGGCCGCACCUUCCUCCCUACCAAAAUCCCCAAGGUAAGUAGCAAAAUGGGGCCCCCUCCACUUCCUCUACCCUCCCUCUGCCCCACGGCUCGCUGCCGGCGAAGCCACGGCCGGCCGCCGCCAGCCACCUUCCCUCUCUCUCUCUCCAAGUUUCUGGAGGAAGAAGAACUGAAAUUCCGCAAAUUCCGAUCUAACCCCCACCUUUUGCCAAAUUCCAAAUAAGUCCUCCUACCACUCUCAAGCACUUCUCACAGAUAAGCCCCUCCACCUCCAGGAAUAUUUACAAAUAGGUCCCUGGUUCCUCGCAAAUCAGUCCUAAACCUCCCUUUUAAGUCCCUAAUACCUGUUUAACUCAUCAUUUCAUGCGCCAAAGUUCCUCCAAUUAUUCCCAAAUUCGACCACGUCAUCCUCUAGGAUACUUCCACCGAUCCAUAUCC